UUUUCUGAAAUCAAUUGCAAGCUUUUAGGAAACCAGGAUUUUUCACAUUUUUAAGAAGCGUUAUAAUUAUAUUGCUGAUCUUUAUACGUUCGUGCGAAAUUGAAAAGUACGCAAAUGGCGCAAAAUGCAUAAAAUGCGCUAAAAUAUACGUAUAUAAGAAAAUAAAUCUCGAUUAAAAUUUUAUUUCUUUGAUUAUGUUCGUAAAACUACAAACUUGUAUAAAAAUACGCAUUCUAGUUAUAAGUGUUAAAACAUUCGAUCUAGUCCUUAUCACAUUCAUGAAAACCUCCAUUUAACCAUUCGUUGUAUCAACGAACAUUCAUAUGCAAAACUUACCACCUACCACAUCCUCCGCGUAUUAAUAUAAUCCCCUUUUAUAAAUUAUACACUUUAGAGUGGACUGGUUGGGUCAGAGUGAUAUAAGCUUACAAGUUCUCGAGGAGUUCUACCGAAGUUACAUUUACGUUUGCAUAAUUUCACCGAAAAAGAUACUCUGUAGAAUGACAGGUUCGUUUGUUUAUGUGAUCCGCGAUCGCAACUAUUUCAAGGGGAUUUUAUAAAUAACCAUACACACGAUAUUCAGUGUAUUUUCGUAUUCUCGUUUAUUUUUGGGAGAUUUGUAAAACUGUUGAACAAAAUAAUUGAGUAACGAUUAUAUUUGCUGAGAAAAAGUCUUUUUCUCUGUACCCCUCCUUCUACUUCAAGCAUGUAGUAUUGACAAUAAGAUUGACAAUGGCUGAAAGUAAUCCAAAAGAGUUUUCACCAUGGUUAUCGGUAACGAAAAAGAUUUGAAUCAUCUUUAAUACUUAUUCGUAACUAGAAUCAUUUCAACUAAAAUGAGAAGACGAAUGCCGUGAAGGCGUUAGCGCGCGAACAGUGCGAAGCGGCGGUACAGCUGCAGCGUCAGCAGCAGCUGCAACAGCACCAGAACCAGCACCAGCUACAACAGCAACAACAACUACGUGGCCCGUUAACCAUCCACCAUGCUGGCUGCCCAACGAAAGUCGGGCCCGUGACGAACCAACUAAAUACCAGCCACGCAACGCACGGCCGAGCUGCACAGUACCAACACUAUCAUCACCAUCAUCAUCAUCGACACGUGUCAAUGUCUCCACCGCUCUUGUUGCUCUCAUCGCCAGCUCCGAUCGCGGCGACGCACAAUCAUCUGAACGUGAGCGGACACAGAAACGUGGUUACGCCACCGGAUACACCAGCAGAUAGAUCGCCACCGAGUCCUGGAAAUAAGCUAAAUAGAUCGCAGCAUUUGCCACGGGAAGCAACCGGCCUGGUCCUGGUCUUCCGGCUGCCACAUUGGAUCUAAGUAGCGCAGCAACCACCAAUAGUCCGCAUGAAUUGUCCACGUUAGUUUAGAAAUUUGGUCCGAACAUUAUAUCUUCACAUAGGAUUGGAGAUUAAUAGUUGAUAGUUAAUUUACACAUCGAUCUUUUUAUUUGUAAAUUGGGUCGUGGUUUAGAGUUGGUUUGUAAAAAUUCGGUCCUAAUUGUUAAAUGAUGAAUAUUGAUUAAGAAUAAUAGGCAUUGAUGUACCAAUCUUUACUUGAGCACACGCAUUGGAGAUUUCACUUUUAUUCAGUGAAACAGCAACUUCAUUACUCGCUUAUUCAAUACGGCAAUUGCAUAUAUUUCAUGGACAUUUUAACAAUGUUUUGAAUAAUUUCUAACGGUACAAUUGUGAUGAAGUGAAAAAAAUCGUGAUAAGAAACAGAGAGAAAAGUUGCUCGUUAAUGAAUAUUGACCAGAAAUAAAGUAAUUUCUAAAGAAUAUCCCGAAGACGUCGUAGAUAUUACGAAAGGAAUGAUUAAUUUAUACCCGCGUGUAUCUUGCCAUUACCAUACUAUUAUUAUUAUUAUUAAUAUUGUUAGUAGUACUCGAUUACAUUAUUAUUAAUAUUAAUAUUAUUGCCUUAUUAUUAUUAAUGUUAUGGAACCUCUAGUCCUAGGUUACUUUCGCUGCCACGAAAGGAUAAGAUUUUCGAAUUUUUUACUAUUACGUGUAAUUCAAGUUUUCCUGUUGCGCAUGCGCAGUAGAAAGAAAGUUAGCGGAACUCAAAUCUCGAACUAUAGAGAGUUGAAAAGUAGUAAAAGUAAAAAAGCACGAAUAACAUUUGUAUUUGUGCUGGAUUAAGUUUGAUAAUUGAAAAUUGAGUUUGAUGAUAAAAUUUUUUUCGUAUUCGCUUUGGUAAAUAUUAGUUUUAUUUAAAAUUGAACAAAGCAUUUUAUGUUUUUCAAAUACGGUACAUAAUCGUAAUAUCGAAUUUUGUAAACUGAUAGUAAGAAACUCUAUAAUUCGAGACUGGAACUUUGAUCAAGUUCACAUUGAACGUAAACUGACUUAAUUUUGUUAUUUAAGCGUGUAUACUAUACGUGUUUGUUCCUUCUUCUCUUGUGCGCAGGCUAUAGCUUAAUUACUUCCAAUAAACGCAGUUAUAUCGAAUCAAUGACCGAUACAAAUUUAGAUAUUAGGAUUAUUUAAACAAGAGAUUAAAAACUAAAAAGUAUUGUUUUUAUACUGCAUAUGUACAUAUGCAAUAUGAACGACAGUUUGUGUAAUAAUAUGUCCCCUCUUCUUAGUUUACUUUUGUAUAUUUUGCGACAUUUGAUAUUAAUUUUAUGAGGAACGUACUUACACUUUAUCUUUGUAAUUAAAUGUGAAAUGAAAGAAAAGAAAUGACAUGAGAAAAGGAAAUUCGAUGUAUGAGUAUAUACGAAUUGACGGAAUUAAAAUUUAACGCUAUAUUUAAAUAGAAGACGUGAAAUAUCUUGUCAUCUUAAAAUAACUUGAUCAUUCCUAUUCUUUUACAUAAAAACACUUUUCGACUGUAACUUAAGAAACAUGUCUGCUAACGUGAAACGUGCCAGAAAAAAUUAACAACUUCCAUUAAAUUGGCAAAUUUCUCAUUAAUAUCGUAAAACUCGCGUUUACAAAGAUCAGAUCAGUGUACAUAAUAUACAAAACAAAUGCAGAAUAUAUAAAUAUAGCACAUACGUUCUGAAUUAUAUUCGAAUUGGGCAGGGUAACCAAGUGAAAAUAUGUAAAUUUCACGAUGUGUAAUGUACACUUUAUCGAACUUGUAAGUAGUGUAGAAAUAGAAUAUUUUACACGUAACAAAAUAUACAAACGACAAUACACAAGUUAAAUUAUUUGUUAGAUCCAUGUAUAACAUGCAUAGUACAAAAGUGUUUUAGCUUUAUGUACUGGUAAUUAUGAGAAAUACCAACUUAAUAGAUGUAUUUGGUAUGUACCUAGUUAAGAAAACAAUAAAUUAUUCUGAACAGAUAAAGCGUUUAGUAGCUUGUGAAGUAUGAAUUUUCGAAAACGCAAGUAUUUUAUAUCUAAGUAGUUAAGAAACGCGAGCAAGGGAAAUCAAACAAAGGAACAAAGUUUUUUUGUUUAAAAAUAUUUAAUUUGUUGUUCUAUUAUCCGAGGUUAGAAGCGAUAAUGUACAAAAUCUGAAUAAAUAAGAUUCUUCAAUA